rnacentral:rRNA from 1 species
ACUCCUACGGGAGGCAGCAGUGGGGAAUAUUGCACAAUGGGGGAAACCCUGAUGCAGCCAUGCCGCGUGUGUGAAGAAGGCCUUCGGGUUGUAAAGCACUUUCAGUAGGGAGGAAGGUAGUGUAGUUAACACCUGCAUUAUUUGUACGUUACCUACAGAAGAAGCACCGGCUAACUCCGUGCCAGCAGCCGCGGUAAUACGGAGGGUGCGAGCGUUAAUCGGAAUUACGUGGGCGUAAAGCGCAUGCAGGCGGCCUGUUAAGUCAGAUGUGAAAGCCCGGGGCUUAACCUCGGAAUUGCAUUUGAAACUGGCAGGCUAGAGUCUUGUAGAGGGGUUAGAAUUUCAGGUGUAGCGGUGAAAUGCGUAGAGAUCUGAAGGAAUACCGAGUGGCGAA